UGGGGAAUAUUGGACAAUGGGGGGAACCCUGAUCCAGCCAUGCCGCGUGUGUGAAGAAGGCCUUUUGGUUGUAAAGCACUUUAAGCGAGGAGGAGGAGCUCUAGACUAAUACUCUAGAUGCUUGGACGUUACUCGCAGAAUAAGCACCGGCUAACUCUGUG
rnacentral:rRNA from 1 species